rnacentral:rRNA from 1 species
CCAACCGGGAUUGCCUUAGUAACGGCGAGUGAAGCGGCAAAAGCUCAAAUUUGAAAUCUGGUACCUUCGGUGCCCGAGUUGUAAUUUGGAGAGGGCAACUUUGGGGCCGUUCCUUGUCUAUGUUCCUUGGAACAGGACGUCAUAGAGGGUGAGAAUCCCGUGUGGCGAGGAGUGCGGUUCUUUGUAAAGUGCCUUCGAAGAGUCGAGUUGUUUGGGAAUGCAGCUCUAAGUGGGUGGUAAAUUCCAUCUAAAGCUAAAUAUUGGCGAGAGACCGAUAGCGAACAAGUACAGUGAUGGAAAGAUGAAAAGAACUUUGAAAAGAGAGUGAAAAAGUACGUGAAAUUGUUGAAAGGGAAGGGCAUUUGAUCAGACAUGGUGUUUUGUGCCCUCUGCUCCUUGUGGGUAGGGGAAUCUCGCAUUUCACUGGGCCAGCAUCAGUUUUGGUGGCAGGAUAAAUCCAUAGGAAUGUAGCUUGCCUCGGUAAGUAUUAUAGCCUGUGGGAAUACUGCCAGCUGGGACUGAGGACUGCGACGUAAGUCAAGGAUGCUGGCAUAAUGGUUAUAUGCCGCCCGUCUUGAAACACGGACCUCCUGUGUGAGGGAUCCCCCUAAA